rnacentral:rRNA from 1 species
UACGUAGGGCGCAAGCGUUGUCCGGAAUUAUUGGGCGUAAAGAGCUCGUAGGCGGCUUGUCACGUCGGAUGUGAAAGCCCGGGGCUUAACUCCGGGUCUGCAUUCGAUACGGGCUGGCUAGAGUGUGGUAGGGGAGAUCGGAAUUCCUGGUGUAGCGGUGAAAUGCGCAGAUAUCAGGAGGAACACCGGUGGCGAAGGCGGCCAUCUGGGACAACACUGACGCUGAAGCACGAAAGCGUGGGGAGCAAACAGG